rnacentral:rRNA from 1 species
UGAGCUUGAUCCUGGCUCAGGACGAACGCUGGCGGCGUGCCUAAUACAUGCAAGUCGAGCGCAGGAAGCCGGCAGAUCCCUUCGGGGUGAAGCCGGUGGAAUGAGCGGCGGACGGGUGAGUAACACGUGGGCAACCUACCUUGUAGACUGGGAUAACUCCGGGAAACCGGGGCUAAUACCGGAUGAUCAUUUGGAUCGCAUGAUCCGAAUGUAAAAGUGGGGAUUUAUCCUCACACUGCAAGAUGGGCCCGCGGCGCAUUAGCUAGUUGGUAAGGUAAUGGCUUACCAAGGCGACGAUGCGUAGCCGACCUGAGAGGGUGAUCGGCCACACUGGAACUGAGACACGGUCCAGACUCCUACGGGAGGCAGCAGUAGGGAAUCAUCCGCAAUGGGCGAAAGCCUGACGGUGCAACGCCGCGUGAACGAUGAAGGUUUUCGGAUCGUAAAGUUCUGUUAUGAGGGAAGAACAAGUGCCGUUCGAAUAGGUCGGCACCUUGACGGUACCUCACGAGAAGCCCG